rnacentral:rRNA from 1 species
UCGUCAGCUCGUGUCGUGAGAUGUUGGGUUAAGUCCCGCAACGAGCGCAACCCCUAUGCAUAGUUGCCAGCAGGUAAAGCUGGGCACUCUAUGCAGACUGCCCGGGUUAACCGGGAGGAAGGUGGGGACGACGUCAAGUCAUCAUGGCCCUUACACCUAGGGCUACACACGUACUACAAUGGCACGCACAAAGGGCAGCGAUACCGUGAGGUGGAGCCAAUCCCAAAAAACGUGUCCCAGUCCGGAUUGCAGUCUGCAACUCGACUGCAUGAAGUCGGAAUCGCUAGUAAUUCGAGGUCAGCAUACUCGGGUGAAUGCGUUCCCGGGCCUUGAACACACCGCCCGUCACACCACGAAAGUCGGUUUUACCCGAAGCCGGUGAGCCAACUAGCAAUAGAGGCAGCCGUCUACGGUAGGGCACGAUGAUUGGGGUGAAGUCGUAACAAGGUAACCGUA